rnacentral:rRNA from 1 species
ACGGAAGGUCCAGGCGUUAUCCGGAUUUAUUGGGUUUAAAGGGAGCGCAGGCGGACUCUUAAGUCAGUUGUGAAAUACGGCGGCUCAACCGUCGGACUGCAGUUGAUACUGGGAGUCUUGAGUGCACACAGGGAUGCUGGAAUUCAUGGUGUAGCGGUGAAAUGCUCAGAUAUCAUGAAGAACUCCGAUCGCGAAGGCAGGUAUCCGGGGUGCAACUGACGCUGAGGCUCGAAAGUGCGGGUAUCAAACAGGAUUAGAUACCCUGGUAGUCCGCACAGUAAACGAUGAAUACUCGCGGUUGGCGAUAUACUGUCAGCCGCCAAGCGAAAGCGUUAAGUAUUCCACCUGGGGAGUACGCCGGCAACGGU